rnacentral:rRNA from 1 species
AUGCCAAAGGACAGGAGCUCCCGUUCAGUCUCGCACGAGGGCUGCCGAUCUCGUGUCUCCCCAUACAAGUUGCGGAGUGGUUCUCGCAGGUCAGAGGAAGCCGCUGCUGCCACCGCUGCUGCAGCAGCAAAGCAGGCUGCAGAAUGGGAGGAGGUUCGCUGUCCUGUGUGCAUGGAUCACCCUCAUAAUGCUGUUAUGCUUGUCUGCUCGUCACAUGAGAAAGGUUGCCGCCCUUUCAUUUGCGACACAAGCUACAGACACUCCAAUUGCCUUGAUCAGUACCGCAAAGCCUCCAAGGAGUCCUCUAAGGAUUCAGGGGCAGCAGAAUGCGCUGAGUGCCAGCAGCCAGUUAAACUGGCAUGUCCAUUAUGCCGUGGGCCGGUCAGCCAUUGGACUAAGGAUUAUGAUGCACGGAAGUUCAUGAAUUCUAAGGAUCGAGCAUGCACCAUGGAGUCAUGUGAGUUCAAGGGUGCAUACAACCAGUUGAGGAAGCACGCAAGGGAGGAUCAUCCUGCUGUACGACCAACGGAGGUGGACCCCAAUCGACAGCGAGACUGGCAUAGGAUGGAGCAGCAGCGUGAUCUUGGGGAUUUGUUCAGCAUGCUGCGUUCGGGGAUCAGUGGCAGAGAAGAUGGGGUUGGAGUCGGUGAAGGUGACGAGGGCGUCAGUGAGAGAUCUUUGCACGCCACGUCCAUAACGAUGGUCUUCAUUGUGCGGUCAGGCAGGUCCAUCCUACACUACACAGACGGGGAAAUCCCAGGUCGUCGAUCAAGAACAAUUCUUCUAGUUGGGGAGCCUCGUGGUGAAGCCUCCCGAGCAGGAGGAUCAAGCGGCAAUGGUGAUGCUGAGGCCACUACAACCGACAAUGAGGAAACGGACCUGGCAAUGUCAACACAGGCAUCUGCUGGUUCUCAGGAAGAUGCUGGAGAAGCCGGUGGCGAUCCUGCGCAGUGA